rnacentral:lncRNA from 10 species
UUGGGUUAGUCUAGUCAGUAGUUCAGCUGGAGUUGAGGUUUGUCAUUGCUAUGGUUAUCCAUGGUGUGCUGCAUGCUUCAAAUUGGUCUAGUGUUAGUGAGGGCAGCGGUGGCCCAUUUGGAGUGGCUGCUGCAAAGAUGCCACCUGAAGCAGAGGAGGCAUGGCCAGGGUUGCAUGCUCUGUGAAGUUGGUGGGAGCUGGGAACAGGUGGGAGCCCUUCUCCCUCCCAAGUUGGCAGGGUGGGAGGCCUGCACUCCUGGGUGCAACUGCACCUGCCCAGCCAUGGCUCCAGACCCAGGUAUCCCUGAGCUCUUGAGGGCCCAGGAAGCCACCUUCCUUCACAGGCUCCAAAGUGCCUGCUCCUGCCACCUGGCCUCUCCCUGCUCCCAGUACCCACUCAGGGCUGAAGCAUAGUUGUGGCCAAGCCUGGGUGCUAUCACAACCUGGCUGGGUUUGCGCACACUCAGAGCUGUGCUGUCAUGCCAGCCCCCUGCUGUCUUAGCCUCCUCCGAGCUUUGGGUGCCAACAAGUAUGGGAGGGAGGUCGAGGAGGUGCUGAGGGCACCUCAAUAUGGACCUGUGGGCAUCCUUUCAGCACAAACAGCCUGAGCACGUGGACAACAUGUUGAUGGUGGCAGGAGGCAGACAGGCUCCUUGGCAGAAAGGGGUGGGUCCCUGGUGAAGCUCCACCUUCAAGCCAGGGAUAGCCUGAAGCAUGGGGGCUGGCUGUCAGUUAGGAGUGGAGUCCACAGCCCGGAGUGAGAACUUACAGUGCUUUCUCUGGCCCACCAUGGCCACCCAUAGACCAAUCAGCAUGCACUUCCUCCCUUCUGAAGCCCAUAAAAACCCUGGACUCAGCCAGACUCAGAGACUUUGGGACUACCAGCUGUGGGACAGAGCUAACCACUUCAGGUCUCCUUGACUAGUCAGGACAACCAGCCUGUGGAAAGGAGCUACCCUCUGUGGGCCUCCUCUCUGCUGAGGGCUGCACACUCGUUGGGAUGACUCACUUGCAGAAAGGAGCUAUCCACUCUGGGUCUCCUCUCCACUGAGAGCUGGACACUCAUCAAGAUGAGCUGCCUGCAGAUAGGAGCUACCCACUCCAGGUCUCCUAAGAGCUGUCCUGUUGCUCAAUGAAGCUCCUCUCCCCCUUGUUCACCCUCCAGUUAUCCUCAUACCUCAUUCUUCCUGAAUGUAAGACAAGAACUCCGCACCAACCAAAUGUCGGGACUGAAUGGGCUGUAACACAAGCAGGGCUGAAACAUGCCCCCCGCUUGCCAUGUUGCAGGCAAUGAGAAGAUGCUGGCGCCUGCAAUGGAAGCUGCCUGUGGUACGUCUGGUCCAGUUUCAGCCUCUCACAGAGCUGGCACCUGUGCCGGCACCUGGGGCUGCCUGUUCUGCCACAGCAGCCAGUAUGCCUGGCUGUGUACAGUGGCUGGACCCUGCGCUUGCUCGCCCACAUAUCCCUCGCCACUCUGCGUCUGGCUCACCCUUGGCAGGUGUGGAAUCUGGGCUGGUAGCAUGAGCUGAGUGCAGACUGCCAGGCUGAGUGGGUGAAACAAGCCCAGCUGGUGUGAGCAAAACCCAAGCAGAGGUGCCGCUGGCCACAGAGGUUUCCAGCUGGCAAAGUGACACCCAAAAGAUCUUGUGACAUUAGCUUGUCUUUAGGGUGGGGCUGGUUUUCCAGAGGGUUUUUCUCUGUGUCUGCUCUACCUUCAGCUGCGGGGCUUCUUGACCCUGGGUCUCAGUGAGAGUCUGUCUUUGCAGCUCUCUCGGAAGUGUCUCACUGUGACUUUGACUUGAUGCCUGCUACCUCGUGAAAGGGAAAAAA